GACAGAGGGUGCAAACGUUGUUCGGAAUUACUGGGCGUAAAGCGCGUGUAGGCUGCUCUGCAAGUCGGGUGUGAAAGCCCCGGGCUCAACCUGGGAAGUGCACUCGAAACUGCAGAGCUCGAGUCCUGGAGAGGAAGGCGGAAUUCUCGGUGUAGAGGUGAAAUUCGUAGAUAUCGAGAGGAACACCGGUGGCGAAGGCGGCCUUCUGGACAGUGACUGACGCUGAGACGCGAAAGCGUGGGGAGCAAACAGG
rnacentral:rRNA from 1 species